rnacentral:rRNA from 1 species
AUUGAACGCUGGUGGCAUGCUUAACUCAUGCAAGUCGGACGGUAACAGGUGUAGCUCGCUACAUGCUGACGAGUGGCGGACGGGUGAGUAAUGCAUAGGAACUUACCUUAUGGAGGGGGGUAGCUCAGGGAAACUUGAGGUAAUACCGCGUAAGACCGAGAGGUGAGAGGGGGCGUAAGCUUUCGCCAUAAGAUGGGCCUAGGUUGGAUUAGCUAGUUGGUGGGGUAAAGGCCUACCAAGGCGACGAUCCAUAGCUGUUCUGAGAGGAAGGACAGCCACGCGGUGACUGAGACACGGCCCAGACUCCUACGGGAGGCAACGGUGGGGAAUAUUGGACAAUGGGGGCAACCCUGAUCCAGCAAUGCCAUGUGUGCGAUGAAGGCCUUCGGGUUGUAAAGCACUUUAGUGAGGGAGCAAGGCAGUAUUGAUAAUACCAAUAUUGUUUGAGGGUACCUCAAGAAUAAGCACCGGCAAACUCUGUGCCAGCCGCCGCGGUAA